rnacentral:rRNA from 1 species
AUUGAACGCUGGCGGCAUGCUUUACACAUGCAAGUCGAACGGUAACAGGGUGCUUGCACCGCUGACGAGUGGCGAACGGGUGAGUAAUACAUCGGAAUGUACCCAGUAAUGGGGGAUAACGCUUCGAAAGGGGUGCUAAUACCGCAUACGCCCUGAGGGGGAAAGUGGGGGACCGCAAGGCCUCACGUUAUUGGAGCAGCCGAUGGCUGAUUAGCUAGUUGGUGAGGUAAAGGCUCACCAAGGCGACGAUCAGUAGCGGGUCUUAGAGGACGAGCCGCCACACUGGAACUGAGACACGGUCCAGACUCCUACGGGAGGCAGCAGUGGGGAAUCUUGGACAAUGGGCGAAAGCCUGAUCCAGCAAUGCCGCGUGCGUGAAGAAGGCCUUCGGGUUGUAAAGCGCUCUUGUCUGGGAGCAAAUCCUGGCCUCUAAUACAGGUCGGGGAUGAGAGUACCAGAAGAAUAAGGACCGGCUAACUACGUGCCAGCCGCCGCGGUAA